rnacentral:rRNA from 1 species
GACAGAGGGGGCAAGCGUUGUCCGGAGUUACUGGGCGUAAAGGGCGUGUAGGCGGUUUGUUAAGUCUGGCGUGAAAGCUCUCGGCUAAACCGGGAGAGGUCGUUGGAUACUGGCGAACUAGAGGAUGGUAGAGGCGUGUGGAAUUCCGGGUGUAGUGGUGAAAUGCGUAGAGAUCCGGAGGAACACCAGUGGCGAAGGCGACACGCUGGGCCAUACCUGACGCUAAAGCGCGACAGCAUGGGGAGCAAACGGG